UGGGGGAGACCCUAAGGAAAGUGCCACAGAAAAUAUACCGCCUGCUUUUAAGCAGGCAAGGGUGAAAAGGCGAGGUAAGAGCUCACCAGUUUCCCGGGUGACCGGGAAAGCUUGGUAAACCCCAUCCGGAGCAAGACCAAAUAGGAGAACAUUAAGGGUGGUCCGCCCGACGUUCUCGGGUAGCGUCGCUUGAGGCAACAGGCAACUGUUGUCCCAGAGGAAUGAUCACCACCGCCUUUCGGGCAACCGGGGGCGGCACAGAACUCGGCUUAUGAGCUGCUCCGACGU
rnacentral:RNase_P_RNA from 1 species